CGCCAGGUUCGCGUUUGUUCUACGCCAAAUCCCUCUGGUGGAAUUUUUGAUGAACUAAAUUCUAUACAACAGAUGGCACCACCAUAACGUAAACAGCUACCGUAUCAUGCAGUAUCUCUGGAUUUAAAUAAAUUUAAUUUGAAAAGCCUAAUUUUGCUUACGAAUCGUUAAUAAUAGGAUGAUAAUGAAAAAAAUAGUAAUAUCAAAGACUUUUUUAUAAGUCAUUUGCUUUAGAAUGGUUAAUAUAGCAAAAAACAUCAAAUAUAUUUUCAUUUUCAUGUCUGUAUAAUUUGACUGCAUCCGACGGUAGGUCUUGUUUUUGUUUUUAUUUGUUUUUGUGCAUGGUUUUGACUUUUGGCAAAUUUGGCGAUUCGGAUUCACCGGACCAGUUGAGCAGUCGCGAGAAGGACCGGGGUUGCCGGAUGAUUGCGGACUCGCAUCGAAUCGUGACCUGUCCUGCAUCGUUAAAGGAAAACGAAGGCGGACCCGGGCGACGGAAAUCCACGAUUCGAUAAGCCGGUGGAUUCGUUCAGCGUACAAGGCGAUGCCGAACACAGCCAGAGGCCGGCGAAGUCCAUGGGGAGCACCUGAAACCGUGAAGGAAGUUACCUUCGACGAGGAUAACUUUCAUGAGUUUGUAGUUUGAGAGAUCAAUAAGCAGGGCUUUUCCUCGCCGACCACCUUCCAAGUCCAGGGAUGACCGAUUGAGCUGUCCGGCCGUGACAGCGGGGAACCGCUGGUUCGCGAUUUGGAGGGCGGAGAAGGUGAUUACUACGCCGGGAUGUUUGAUCGAUUUGCUGGAGCGAGGCAUCCUGAGACAACCUGUCCCGUUGCACGUUUCUGUUGCUCGACGAGGCGGAUCGGAACCGAGCAGAUCUGGCCGGAUCGGUGCCGAUGUGGUCGAAGGAGGUUCGGGUGUUGGCGAAGGACACGAUUACAUCCAGAUUACCGUUGAUCUUGUCGGCGACCCGCAUCAUCCACUAGAUCGUGGAUAUUUAUGAGGAAAACGAACAGGAGGGCAAGCUGUUGUCGUUGCCAAGUACGUGAACAACUUUAUUACCUGGACCCGUCGGAGGAUUACAUCGGGAAGAUACGGUCACAUGGACCAGGUUGGAUUCGGUGCACUGCGGGAAGGUGGCUUCCAGAAAAACCGCUGAUUUAGAACAAUAAGUUGCUAUUGUAUGUUUAAUCUGUUUAGUUUGUUAAAUUUGUGUAUAAAAUAAAGGGUAAUUUUGGGGAUUCCGGUGUUGGGUUAGAGGGUUUCAGUUCCAGGACGUGUGGGUAGCAUUCGUGAUGCAGAUCGAGUGGAACCUAGCCGGUGCAACCAAUGUCGAUGGAGAAUAACAGACGGGUUCGAGUUCCUCAAUGCCAGCAGACGUUAAGCCUAAUCAGGCAUCUUCCCGGUGACCUUUCCUGCUUUCGCUUUUCCCCACGCUACUCGUCGAUGCAGGUCAUCAGGCUGGCCAUUCGGUCACUAUACUCCGCUCCGAACAACUGCACCCAGAUUUGGUCCGGUGAAACGGGAUGUGUCACGUGCAGAUCCCAGCUUUGUAGUUCCGAAUUUCUCAGGUGAGGUUUCGUAUAGAAACAGCUAUUCCUUCGGAAUCGCUCCGGUUUGAUCGCUCUUGAACGGUGCGGGAGAAGGCUUAGUUGGAAUACCGUAAGUAGAACUUCUCAU